GAUCAUGGCUCAGGAUGAACGCUAGCUACAGGCUUAACACAUGCAAGUCGAGGGGCAUCAGUUUGGUUUGCUUGCAAACCAAAGCUGGCGACCGGCGCACGGGUUAGUAACACGUAUCCAACCUGCCUCAUACUCGGGGAGUAGCCUUUCGAAAGAAAGAUUAAUAUCCGAUAGCAUAUAUUUCCCGCAUGGGUUUUAUAUUAAAGAAAUUCGGUAUGAGAUGGGGAGUGCGUUCCAUUAGUUUGUUGGG
rnacentral:rRNA from 1 species